GACGAACGCUGGCGGCGUGCUUAACACAUGCAAGUCGAGCGGAAAGGCCCUUCGGGGUACUCGAGCGGCGAACGGGUGAGUAACACGUGAGUAAUCUGCCCUUGGCUUUGGGAUAACUACCGGAAACGGUGGCUAAUACCGGAUACGACAACCGUCUGCAUGGGCUGGUUGUGGUAAGUUUUUUCGGCCAGGGAUGUGCUCGCGGCCUAUCAGCUUGUUGGUGGGGUAAUGGCCUACCAAGGCUUCGACGGGUAGCCGGCCUGAGAGGGUGACCGGCCACACUGGGACUGAGACACGGCCCAGACUCCUACGGGAGGCAGCAGUGGGGAAUAUUGGACAAUGGGCGGAAGCCUGAUCCAGCAACGCCGCGUGAGGGAUGACGGCCGUCGGGUUGUAAACCUCUUUCAGUACCGACGAAGCGCCGAUGAUGGUGGUGACGGUAGGUACAGAAGAAGCACCGGCCAACUACGUG
rnacentral:rRNA from 1 species